ACACAAACUAGGUUCUUUUCAGAUAAUUUCUUUAAUUUUUUCGUAUUUAGGUUUAACUAGUUCAAAAUAGCAAGAAUAUGAAUGGUUAAAAAUGAAAUCAAUAGCUUUAGUGCUCCAGAAAAACUAAUAUUUUCUUUAGUGCACAAUCAUAAGAAAAAACUUAUUUUUUAAAAAAUAAUUAUGAUUAAUAUUUAUAAUAUACAUUAAAAAUUAUUUAAAUAGUUAUAAAAUAAAUUACAAAAUAUUAUUAUUUUACACACUUUUAGAUAAGAAAAAUUUCUUUAUAUAGUCAUUUUUAGUUUAUUUUUACAAAAAUAGACUUCUAAAGAGAAAAAUGACUAAAAGAGGUUUUACUGAAGGGUAAAUAUGCAUUUAUAUUCUUAGAGUUAACUAAUCUAAGACUUAAGGUUUAGAAUUAAAGGUUGGGUUUUGGGAUGAGUUCAAAUUAUUAAAAAUAAAAAUAAAUAUUAAAAAUUUUAAAAUAAAAAAAAAAACUAUUUUGGUCAUUUAUUUUUUGAAGAUUAUUUUUGUGAUAAAAACUUAAGAAGAACUAUUGAGAUAAUUAUCUUUCAGAUAAAGUUAAAAGUUAUAUUGAUAUAUAAAAAUAUCACUUGUUUUAAAAGGGAGAAAGUACUAUAUAGAUUUCUGUUCGAAAAUUUUCCGAUUAUAGUAAAAAAGAAAAAAAAUGAAAUAUAUUUGGGAUAGAAAAAUUAUCAGAAAGAAAAGGAAUGAUCAGGUCCGGGGAGUCGUACUUGUGACGCAUGACAUGUGAGUCAUUACUGUUCAAACAAUAAAAAUAUUUGUUAUUAUUUGUCGGUCUUUAACGUAAUUUUCAUUACCCGAAGACAGUCACUAAUCACUUAUCAAUUAUCAUCCAUCCAAAAUCCAAAUCCAAAUCCAAUCCUAAUCCUACCUGCAACCAAAAUCUUCAUCUUAAGGUCUGAGCAAGCCAAAGAUAGGAUCAGGUUUCUUUUUCCAAGAUUCGAGCUUUAUAAUGGCGUCGUUUCCUCUUCACCGUGAACUCCCCUGUAAAGAUUAUGUUUUUCAGCAUGGAACUUCAGGUCGACAUAGCAGAGGAGAAGUGUUGUUUGAUUCGAAUGGUGCAAGACGAAGUUGUCCGCCUGGCAGAACCUUCCCAUGUCCGGCUUUAGGAGUGUUGACGAAGGCAGAGGUUAGUAGCAGUAGCACUAGUGGUCUGAAACAUAGAACAACCGCUCUGGGGAGGGAUUGUACGAGAUCGAUCCCGUGUUCAAGAAGAAAGCUUUGCUUGGUUAGGGCGUCAUCAGAGACCAAGACUAUCAAAAAGAGACUUCAACUGUUAGAUUCUUACUUUGAGAAACUUCAAAGCAACGAUGAGAAGCCUUCUAUCUCAAUGGGGGAUGAAAUCAAUCGGGGAGCUGAACUCAGUGGAGAGAAGGAGUUAGAAUCUUUGAGCGUUUAUCUUAAAAAACAACAAAAAUAUGCGAUAAUAAAACCAGAAGGAGGUUCAGUAGCAAGCAAAUCGAGAAACUCUGAUAUUGAAAGUAAUAAUGAUGGAGAAGAUCCAUUGAACUUCUAUGUUGUGAGCAUAUUGGCAUCCAUAAACGUUGGAGUGUGUCUGUUUGAAGCGGCGGCUCCAGUGAGGAACAAUGAUAUGGGACUCUUAUCGCUCCCGCUGUUAUAUGGAGCAAAGAUAAACGAUCUAAUCGUGGCUGGGGAAUGGUGGAGGCUGGUCACACCCAUGUUUCUGCACUCUGGAAUCCCUCAUGUAGCCCUUAGCUCAUGGGCUCUGCUUACCUUUGGACCAAAAGUCUGCCGUGACUAUGGGCUACUCACGUUCUGUCUCAUUUGUAUUCUCGGAGGGGUAUCUGGUAAUUUCAUGAGCUUUCUUCAUACACCAGAUCCUACAGUUGGAGGAACUGGACCAGCAUUUGCUUUAAUAGGAGCUUGGCUUGUUGACCAAUCUCAGAACAAGGAGAUGAUCAAAAGAGAAGAGUACGAAGACUUGUUUCAGAAGGCCAUUAUAAUGACAGGGCUUGGUCUCAUACUAAGCCAUUUCGGUCCAAUAGAUGACUGGACAAAUCUGGGAGCACUUGUAGCUGGGGUUGUGUACGGAUUCUUCACUUGUCCGGUGUUUCAACUUGGAAGUGGAAGUGAAGGGAUUAUGACGGUUGGGGCAGAGAAACAGAACAGCGCUGGCCCGUGUAAAUCGUUUCUGAUUUUCACAAUCUUUGUCGCGGUUCUUGUGACUUGUGUGCUAGUCCUUGGGGAUGGACCAUUGACCUUCCCUACGUAUGAUGAUGUGGUCUACUCUCUCAUCUAGUGUUUCAUCAUUUGUGUGUGUCUAGUGGAAAGUUAAAUUCUAGUACUGAUAAACGAGGAGAGUCGUUUGGUUUGGGGGUAUAGCAAACUGAGAAAACUGUACUAAACUCUUAUAUCUGAAGUCUUUUCUUAAUCAAGUUAAUCAACUAUGAUGAGAUCUUAAGCUUUUGUAGUUUUGAGCGUUUUUACUCAAAAUCGGAAGAAAAAUCUGAAGAAUUUAACUUUCCACUA